rnacentral:rRNA from 1 species
UGCCAGCAGCCGCGGUAAUACGUAGGGUGCAAGCGUUGUUCGGAAUCACUGGGCGUAAAGAGAGCGUAGGCGGGAUCGUAAGUUAGAAGUUUAAUACAUGGGCUUAACCCGUGGUCAGCUUUUAAUACUGCGGUUCUUGAGUAUGGGAGAGGGCGAUGGAAUUCCAGGUGUAGCGGUGGAAUGCGUAGAUAUCUGGAAGAACACCAGUAGCGAAGGCGGUCGCCUGGCCUAAUACUGACGCUGAGGCUCGAAAGCUAGGGGAGCAAACAGGAUUAGAUACCCUGGUAGUCCUAGCCGUAAACGAUGAACACUAGUUGCCGGAGGAGUCAAUCUUUUUGGUGACGAAGCUAACGCAUUAAGUGUUCCGCCUGGGAAGUACGCUCGCAAGAGUGAAACUUAAAGGAAUUGGCGGGGG